CGGGGCUUAAAGUCUUGUAAUUGGAAUGAUGGGAAUUUAAACCUCUUCCAGAGUAUCAAUUGGAGGGCAAGUCUGGUGCCAGCAGCCGCGGUAAUUCCAGCUCCAAUAGCGUAUAUUAAAAUUGUUGCAGUUAAAAAGCUCGUAGUUGAAUUUCUGCUGCAUUGCUUGUGUCCCUCUGGGGUCUGUGCAUGUGGCUUUUUUCGGACGGAGUUUCUUUGUCUAAAUGUUUACUUUGAGAAAAUUAGAGUGCUCAAAGCAGGCUUUCGCCUUGAAUAGUUUAGCAUGGAAUAAUAAAGUAGGACUUUGGUUCUAUUUUGUUGGUUUUAGGUACCAAAGUAAUGGUUAAUAGGAACAGUUGGGGGCAUUCGUAUUUAACUGUCAGAGGUGAAAUUCUUAGAUUUGUUAAAGACGAACUACUGCGAAAGCAUUUGCCAAGGAUGUUUUCAUUAAUCAAGAAC
rnacentral:rRNA from 1 species